GCAGCUGCAGCUGGGCCUGGAGGCAGUGGCUCUACAGCAGCAGUGAGAGCCGAGCUGUGGCAGACACAUGCUCUUCCCCUGACUCACGGCUGCCCAGUUCCCUCCAGCGAGGCUGCUGACCUAUUUUUCUAUUAGGAACAACCAGCCAAUGUGAUAAUGAGGAAAAUGUAUUCUGGCCCCUAUGAAGUUUAGUGAAGCCCGAAUGAAGUGGAGGAGGCCACGGAGAUGCACGAGGAAGAGCAUUCCAGGCAGAGGGAACAGCGAGGACAAAAGCCCCCGGGCAGGAAUGGGUGUGCAAGCCUGAGAUCCAACAUGGCGGAGAGCAAGCCGGAAGUGCUGCGCGGGGAUCCUAAGGGAGCACUGAACAGGACAAGCUCAGUUUUGUCCCUCAAACCUCCACAAUCAGCUAUUUUACAUAAGGAAAGUGGGUGGUGAUUAACCUCAGAGUCUCCAGGGACAGACUAUCCAGGACUGUGCCUGAAAUAGAAGAGGAAUUAACAUCAUACAGAACUGAAUACGGUGACUGAGGGGAGUUUGUGUCUCCCCUUUUAGGAAAGAAGAUGAGAAUAAGUAUGAAGGAGAGUCAUGUACUGUACAUUAAGCAAAAGCAUGAUGCUGUUAUUUGAAAUGUUAAUUAGAGGUGCCCACUAAAAACUGCUCAGCAAUUUUCUUGGAGACCUCAGUGCUCAUGUUAUUCUUUCCUCUAUCUUAUGUUUUCCUCUCUCCUGCCCUUUUCAGAAACAGUCUACAGCAGAAGCCAUUGACCCUGUUCAAAUUACAGAAGAGCCCUUUUUGAAUUUAUGAAAAUCCUGAAAUAUUAAAAUUUAUUAUUUUAAUAUUAAUAUAUUAAAUUAAUAUAUUAAUCUACCCGCCUCGGCCUCCCAAAGUGCUGGUAUUACGGGCAUGAGCCACCGAACCCAGCCUCAUGUUAUGACUUUCCAACCAUAAUUUAGUGUUAACAAAGUAAUCACAAAAGUAAUAUAUUAGUUUGAAAUUAGUAAUGCCCACCAGAUUCAAUCACUAAAAAAUGUGAUAUCAUUAAAAACCAUUUUUCUACAUGUUAACAAGAGCCAACUUCUGUCCCAAGCAGGUUGAAUUAUCACAAUUUCCUGAUAAGCAGAGUCCAGCUUCCUAAUUCAAACUCUCAAACUCAUUGUUAAAUAAGCCCAGAGGAGUUGGACAUUUUCCAUCACGCAUGUGGGAAGAAAGAAGGCCAACGAUGCUCUUCAGAUUUAACAAGUAAACCUUAAAAGUAUCUGUUAAGAAUACAGAGAUGCCCAUGACAACACUAUCACCAGAGCAACAACUAUCAACUAAGGUAACCAUGUAGAAAUAAUGUCCUUUUUGUAGGUCUUCUUUUCUUCCUUUUUCUUUUUCUUCUUUUCCUUUUUUUUUGGUGCAAGACAUGGCAACAAUUUCUAAAGUCUAUGUUUACAUUAUACUUGCAAGAAAAGGCUUAUUUUAAUCACAGCACAAGUGGGUAACUGUUACAGAUAUUCACAUGACUCUGCACUUCCCAUUUGACAGCAGAGGGCAGGAUUGUGGUGGCCGCUCUCAAGUUACCAUCAUCACAAAUCAGCUUAUUUAAAACAGUUUAUUAUGAUUAUAAAUAAUCUAAAAUAUUUUAUUUAAAAUAGAUUAUUUAGAAUAAAUUAUUUUAAAUACUUUGUGAUGUAGAACAUUCUCUCUGGCCGGGUGUGGUGGUUCAUGCCUAUAAUCCCAGCACUUUGGGAGGCCAAGAUGGGAGGAUUGCUUGAGCCCAGGAGUUUGAGACCAGCCUAAACAACAUAGCGAGACUCCGUCUCUACUAAAAAUACAUAAAUGAGCUGGGUGUAGUAGCUUGCAUCUGUAGCCCCAGCUACUCAGGAGGCUGAGGUGGGAGGAUCACUCAAGCCCAGGAGGUUGAGGCUGCAGGGCUGUGAUCGCACCACUGCAUUCCAGCCUGGGUGAC
ensembl:lncRNA LINC01563 long intergenic non-protein coding RNA 1563